rnacentral:rRNA from 1 species
UCGACGGAGUUGCUUUGAUGAAGUUUUCGGAUGGAUUUAAAACAGCUUAGUGGCGGACGGGUGAGUAACGCGUGGGUAACCUGCCUCACACUGGGGGAUAACAGUUAGAAAUAGCUGCUAAUACCGCAUAAGCGCACGGUUCCACAUGGAACAGUGUGAAAAACUCCGGUGGUGUGAGAUGGACCCGCGUCUGAUUAGCCAGUUGGCGGGGUAACGGCCCACCAAAGCGACGAUCAGUAGCCGGCCUGAGAGGGUGAACGGCCACAUUGGGACUGAGACACGGCCCAAACUCCUACGGGAGGCAGCAGUGGGGAAUAUUGCACAAUGGGGGAAACCCUGAUGCAGCGACGCCGCGUGAGUGAAGAAGUAUUUCGGUAUGUAAAGCUCUAUCAGCAGGGAAGAAAGUGACGGUACCUGAAUAAGAAGCCCCGGCUAACUACGUGCCAGCAGCCGCGGUAAUACGUAGGGGGCAAGCGUUAUCCGGAUUUACUGGGUGUAAAGGGAGCGUAGACGGCAAGACAAGUCUGAAGUGAAAGCCCGGUGCUUAACGCCGGGACUGCUUUGGAAACUGUUUAGCUGGAGUGCCGGAGAGGUAAGCGGAAUUCCUAGUGUAGCGGUGAAAUGCGUAGAUAUUAGGAAGAACACCAGUGGCGAAGGCGGCUUACUGGACGGUAACUGACGUUGAGGCUCGAAAGCGUGGGGAGCAAACAGGAUUAGAUACCCUGGUAGUCCA